UCCUUGUGUGCUUUUCUAUCUCUUAUCUUUAGCACUUAAGUUCUCGAAAGAUUUGUCAAAAUCUUUAAGGUGGAAGUUUUGUUCUGAAAACGUUAUUCAAACCCCCCUUUCUACCGUUUUUCAUACCUUCAAGAAGAACCGCGGCAACCGUCGCGAACUCAUCGGAGGAUAGUGUUCUUCCCUCUCCUCUGAACAUGCGCGCCUUCAUGCCGAAUUGCCUCGCCGUGGAAUCGUCGUAUCUAAAGCAUGGCAGCGAGCACAUAGUUAUGUUAUCAUGUAGUUGUAGACUUUAUUAUUUACUGCAAUGGAGAUUUGAUCUACUUGUAUUUUUGUACAGAUUGAAAAUGAUUAAGGAUCUAUGGAGUCUGAAAUUGGUGUUCCUGGUUAAACCUUUCCCAAGUGGGCAACAGAUAUAGCUCUACGACUUGGGGUUGGGGUUCCAUUCAAUUGUGCAAGCAAGAUGAUACUCCUGAUACUGUUCGCUGGAGGAGGAGGGAUCGUGGGAGGUGGUGAUUCCACGGCAUAUAUGAGCGCACAUGGAAGGGGUAGAGGAGGGGAGAUUGAGAGAGAUGUGUCUUCCAUGGCAGCAUCUUUGGAGUCUUGAGGUCCAAGGUUUGUGGUUUAAGUUAAUGUCUUGGCUGCCUGAGUAAUUUAUUCCCUUGGAUUUGAGCCUAAUUGUUCUUCUUGUUUUUGGGUGGUGUAGGAUUUUGUUCUUGUCAUUUUCUAUUUUCCUUUCAUGUAUGUACUCAAGUUGAAAGCUCCUGGGUCAUUUUCACUCGCUUGGCCCAAUUUUCUUAUGUGUAUUUGAUUUUUAUUAUAUGAAAACUCAGUUCAAUUA